CACAUUCCAUGGAUUCCAGGUGACAGGUGAGCAAUGGCAUGUGGAAUCCUGGAGGACUUUGACAUAUCUGCUGAAUAUAACAGAGAAGGGUUCAUCAGUUGACAUAGUGCAGCCACUAUCCAUCAGUGAUCUGCUAGGAAGUGUGGACCUCACCAAGUUCUACCGCUACCAGGGUUCUCUGACCACCCCCACCUGCGAUGAAAUGGACCAUGUUCUUAGAACCAAUCAAGAUGCGGAGAGAUCUAGUGAGUGGUAACCUGACAUAGCAGGCAUAAAAGAAAAGCCUGAGCGGAGCUGGAAGAAACAGGAAGCAUCCGGUUUGAUUCUUCACCUCUGCUUCCUGAAAAACGUAUGCAACCCCGCUGAGGGUGGAGCUGUUUUCCUAAAACCCUGAAGUACAGAAACAUCUCCAGGCCAGUGCAACGCUUCCCCGGGUUGUCAGUGUCCCCACUGGGCCGCGUUUGCAGCGGCCAGACUUCCAGCAGGAGGGCUCUUGUCCGGCCUACAACUACUACUACUGGGCUGGGGGUGAGGCUGGACGCCCAGGGGGAGGGGUUGGUAU